AGAUUCCUGACCUGAUGGGCAUAAAGACCUGCAGAGAAUCCUCUGACUGACUGAAGGAAAAACCAGUGUGGUGUCAUCUUGCAAAUGAAUUCUGAUGAUAAUCACAAUUAUUUUUCCUGCUGGGGACAAACUUCUGCAGUGGCAGUAGUUCAUCUAUUGAUGUUGGACCUGAUGAACCCUUGAGCAUGGACAGAGCUUGGAUGGAGAAUACUGUCAUUGGUCUGUGCUGAGGCCAACCCAACAUCCUCAUGGCCAUCUUGAGCCAGCUCUCAGGAGGGGAAUCUUUUAUAGAUUAAUGUAUAUGGCCGCGCAAUGUUAAUUCCAGCUUCCUUCCAGAUGCAGAUAUACAGCAGCUUUGGUCUGCAGAAUAACCCCACACUCUUGCCAUCUGCAAACACAAGCAAUAGUUUUUAUCAGAAAAAAACUCCAAUCCAACUAGCACUUCAUUUCCCAUGCUAGAAAUGCCUGAGAGCAAAAACUUUCCCUAAAUAACCCCAACACUGAACAAUCACCGAAAUGCAUCUCUUUUAUUUCACUGCUUCCCCUCACCUGGUAAACAGUGACUUGGCCAACACCUGGUGCCUGUCUGCUCCAUCACUGGGGUGGUUGAUGCUGCUCAUGUCCUCUGGAUCGUUUAACCUGAUUUUCCACCUGCAGCUGCAUGGCUACCAAUGAAAAACCCUCCCCAAAACUCAGCCUGUGUGGAACAAGCAUGCUUCAUGGGGCUGGCUUUGGAGAGCCCACUUGAGGUAUGGGCUCCAGAAGGCAAAAAGUACCUCGAAGAGGAUGCACUGAUCUUUGUCCUCUUGCUGUUCCUUCUGUAGCAGCUUCCUCCCCUGCAGUACUGCACAGCUGUAAAGAAGCUGUGAUGGCUCUGAGGAAGGAGUCUGGGUUCUGCAGCUGAUGUUCCCCUGCUUGCCCCCCUGUAUCCUGCUCCAUCUCCAGCAUAUGGAGGGGCUAAUUGCUGCUGUAGGAGCUGCUGCUGUGCACAGUGGUCUGUGGAUGAGCUAAGCACAAAAAAAUGAUUUAUUAUGGCUUUAUGAUACAACUAUUUUUUCGUAGAUAGUAAGGAAAGUAUGGGAUAACCAAGGGGGAAAAUCAGUUUGGUUUGGGGGAGCUAUUUUUUCAAGCUGUUCCUGGGCAGUCACUCGGUGUGUGUUGUUGGCUUGGUUUGUGGCACAGACUUCUCAUGCAGGGGCAGAGCUCACCCAAUGACAACCCUUCCAAGGGUGCCCUGAGCCACCUGGGAUGCUUUCCCUACUACAGAGCAGCUGGGGUUGAGCACUUGCCCUGGUAUUCCUAGAAACCUUCCAGAAAAGCACCCCCAAAGCAGCAGAACCCCACAUCCCACGGAUGUCACCUUAGCAGUGAUGGCACGGGAAGGGGAUGUCUGUGUUGGCACCUCUGUGACUUCAAAGGCAGGAGCUGAGAGGCUUCUCAGAGCCUCUGCUUUGUUAUUCAUCUUCCCCAGCGCUCAUAAAUUAUCAACAAACAAUCUCAGCCAUCAUGCCGGUGAGCAGGACUGGAUAAUUAUGUUUGUGGUUCAAAAUGAGGGUUGUCAAUUUUAAUUAGGGAAAGCUGAGGGCGCGGGGAAUUUUUAAUGUUACCACCUGAACUCUCGAGUGCUGCUUAGGAAAUAAUUGUAAAUGAAAAAUUAAACAGGGCUCAGUACACACUGCAAA